CCUACGGGUGGCUGCAGUGGGGAAUAUUGGACAAUGGGCGAAAGCCUGAUCCAGCCAUGCCGCGUGUGAGAAGAAGGCCUUCGGGUUGUAAAGCACUUUCAGUGGGGAAGAAAGCCUUGGGGCUAAUACCCUCGAGGAAGGACAUCACCCACAGAAGAAGCACCGGCUAACUCCGUGCCAGCAGCCGCGGUAAUACGGAGGGUGCGAGCGUUAAUCGGAAUUACUGGGCGUAAAGCGCGCGUAGGCGGUCUGAUAAGCCGGUUGUGAAAGCCCCGGGCUCAACCUGGGAACGGCAUCCGGAACUGUCAGGCUAGAGUGCAGGAGAGGAAGGUAGAAUUCCCGGUGUAGCGGUGAAAUGCGUAGAGAUCGGGAGGAAUACCAGUGGCGAAGGCGGCCUACUGGACUGACACUGACGCUGAGGUGCGAAAGCGUGGGUAGCAAACAGGAUUAGAUACCCUGGUAGUC
rnacentral:rRNA from 1 species